rnacentral:lncRNA from 1 species
UGGUGACAGGCAGCCACCCACAGCCACCGCAGGGACGGGAGGGGAGCAGUUAUGGGCUGGUUACAACUUAUGGUCACAGAAAAUAAAACGGGGAGACGUCCAGCUCUGGGUGGAAAAGCCCCAUCUUUUUAAGCCUGGAAACUAUGCCAUGUCUCCACGUGCGUAUUAAAGAUUUCCCAAUUCGGAAGUCACUGAGCACCAGUCCUUCUAAUAGAGCCUCAGAUAGAUAGUCUGUUUUCUUGAAGAUCAAGUUUGAAACUUCACUCUCUGGAGAAAAGAACA